UACGGAGGGUGCGAGCGUUAAUCGGAAUUACUGGGCGUAAAGCGCGCGUAGGCGGUUUGUUAAGUCAGCUGUGAAAGCCCCGGGCUCAACCUGGGAAUGGCAUUGGAUACUGGCAACCUAGAAUGUGGUAGAGGGUGGCGGAAUUCCCGGUGUAGCAGUGAAAUGCGUAGAUAUCGGGAGGAACAUCCGUGGCGAAGGCGGCCACCUGGACCAACAUUGACGCUGAGGCACGAAAGCGUGGGGAGCAAACAGG
rnacentral:rRNA from 1 species